UUUUUUUUUUUGGAAUGGUAGCUACACACUCUUUUUCAGACACAUAUGCAAGAAUAGCCACUUGUCAAGAACUCAAGAUGUGGGUUCGCUGUAGAUGACAACUUUUUGGGGAAAAAGGUUGAAUUUGCCACACCAAAUUCUGAAAAGCUAGGUAACAUGUGGGGUACCAUGCCUUUUCAUUAAAAAAGCCCUUUAUUUCUUCAAGUAUAUCUCUGAUUGUACAGGUAGCUUUCAGGUACACUGUUCAUCUCCAUCGUAUAAGGUCUGGUCCUGCAAAUGUCGUUGACGCUAGAGCUCAUGCAUGAUCCGGACUCCUGGAUCCACCAAUGCUUGUUUAGCCCAGCUCAUACUAGAAGCUCCUUGCUGAUGCUGACUUGGCUAAUGGCCAAGAUAACCCAAUAUAUAAUGGGAUAUCUGACAAAAAGAAAAGCAUGUCACUGGGUUUUAAUCCAAUUGUACAAUGCCACAGUUGCCGAGUUGCGCCUUCGAGGCCCGAUCCUGUUUGCUUGUACCCUUGUCAACUAUUUCUAAGCCAUGCCAAGUGUGAUGUCGAGAUGGAAAUCUGACCAUGUUCAAGGCGGGAUGCUAAUGCCCCCAUGUUCAGUCUCACCUACUACUGUACCAUACUCCUAACUUUGAUUCCUACGUGUACUUUUCUCAGUAAAAUACAAAAUGCACCGCGAAUUUGGCAACAAUGUUGAUGUAGAUGUGCAAUGACAAAACAAACUAAUACCAUGUGCCUUGACAUUU
rnacentral:lncRNA from 1 species